rnacentral:rRNA from 1 species
CCAAUAGCGUAUAUUAAAGUUGUUGCAGUUAAAGAGCUCGUAGUUGAAUUUCGGGAUCAGUGGGUCGGUCGUGCCACUGGUAUGUACUGGCCCUACUGGUUCCUCCUUCCUGAAGAACUGUAAUGCCAUUAAUUUGGUGUUGCAGUGACGCAGGACUGUUACUUUGAAAAAAUUAGAGUGGUUAAAGCAGGCAAUCGUUUGAAUACAUUAGCAUGGAAUAAUGAAAUAGGACGAUCGAUCCUAUUUUGUUGGUUUCUAGGAUUGACGUAAUGAUUAAUAGGGAUAGUUGGGGGCAUUAGUAUUCAAUUGUCAGAGGUGAAAUUCUUGGAUUUAUUGAAGACUAACUACUGCGAAAGCAUUUGCCAAGGAUGUUUUCAUUAAUCAAGAACGAAAGUUAGGGGAUCGAAGACGAUCAGAUACCGUCGUAGUCUUAACCAUAAACUAUGCCGACUAGGGAUCGGAUGAUGUUAAUUUUUUAAUGACUCAUUCGGCGCCUUACG